rnacentral:rRNA from 1 species
CUAUGGUUCCUUAGAUCAUGUUGUCACACUUGGAUAACUGUAGCAAUUCUAGAGCUAAUACAUGCAACUAAGCCGUUCUCUUACGGGAAAGGCGCACUUAUUAGAUCAAAAUCAAUCGGAGCUUGCUCUGCUGGUUUGAUGACUCUGGAUAAUAUUGCUGAUCGCACGACCCUGGUGUCGGCGACGUAUCUUUCAAAUGUCUGCCCUAUCAACUAGAUGGUAGGAUAUAAGCCUACCAUGGUUAUAACGGGUAACGGGGAAUCAGGGUUCGAUUCCGGAGAGGGAGCCUGAGAAAUAGCUACCACAUCCAAGGAAGGCAGCAGGCGCGCAAAUUACCCACUCUCAGAGAGAGGAGGUAGUGACAACAAAAUAACGAUGCGGGACUCAUUCGAGGCCCCGUAAUCGGAAUGAGAACACUUUAAAUCCUUUAACGAGGAUCAAUUGGAGGGCAAGUCUGGUGCCAGCAGCCGCGGUAAUUCCAGCUCCAAUAGCGUAUAUUAAAGUUGCUGCAGUUAAAAAGCUCGUAGUUGGAUCUGAGGAUUUGAACAGAUGGUCUGCCUUUAGGGGUUUGACGAACUGUUCUGCCUUACACAGUCGUGGAUAUCUUAGGUGCUCUUCAUUGAGUGCUUUUGGAGCCCGACGCGAUUACUUUGAAAAAAUUAGAGUGCUUAAAGCAGGCCUUGUGCUUGUAUAGUGUUGCAUGGAAUAAUGAAAUAGGACUUCGGUCUAUUUUGUGGGUUUUCGGACCCGAAGUAAUGAUUAAAGGGGACAUAAGGGGGCAUAAGUAUGGCAGCGCUAGAGGUGAAAUUCUUGGACCGUUGCCAGACUACCUACUGCGAAAGCAUUUGCCAAGGAUGUUUUCAUUAAUCAAGAACGAAAGUCAGAGGUUCGAAGACGAUCAGAUACCGUCCUAGUUCUGACCAUAAAUUAUGCCAUCUAUGCAUCCAAUUGGUUGCUCGUUCGACUGCAUUGGGCGACCCCCGGGAAACCAAAGAUUUUGGGUUCCGGGGGAAGUAUGGUUGCAAAACUCAAACUUGAAGGAAUUGACGGAAGGGCACCACCAGGAGUGGAGCCUGCGGCUUAAUUUGACUCAACACGGGAAAACUCACCCGGCCCGGACACUAUAAGGAUUGACAGAUGAAAGCUCUUUCUUGAUUUGGUGGUUGGUGGUGCAUGGCCGUUCUUAGUUGGUGGAGCGAAUUGUCUGGUUAAUUCCGAUAACGAGCGAGACUCUACCCUAUUAAAUAGAACGCUGGUAAAAAAAAGAAGCUAGGUGCAGACUUCUUAGAGGGAUUCACGUCUUCUAGACGGCUGAGAAAGAGCAAUAACAGGUCUGUGAUGCCCUUAGAUGUUUGGGGCCGCACGCGCGCUACACUGACAGCAGCAAUUAGUUUGAUCCUGAACUGAAAAGGUUGGGUAACCUGACUAAACGCUGUCGUGACAGGGAUCGGGGUUUGUAAUUAUUCCCCGUGAACGAGGAAUUCCCAGUAAGCGCAAGUCAUUAGCUUGUGCUGAUUACGUCCCUGCCCUUUGUACACACCGCCCGUCGCUACUACCGAUUGAAUGAUUUAGUGAGGUCCUCGGAUUGGUGCUGAGGGAGUGGGAAACUAUUCCCUUAGCGCCGAGAAGACGAUCAAACUUGAUCAUUUAG